rnacentral:rRNA from 1 species
GAUGAACGCUGGCGGCGUGCUUAACACAUGCAAGUCGAACGGAAAGGCCAGUGCUUGCUCUGGUACUCGAGUGGCGAACGGGUGAGUAACACGUGGGUGAUCUGCCCUGCACUUCGGGAUAAGCCUGGGAAACUGGGUCUAAUACCGGAUAGGACAAUGGUUUGGAUGCCGGUGUGGGAAGUUUUUUCGGUGUUGGAUGAGCUCGCGGGCUAUCAGCUUUUUGGUGGGGUGUUGGCUUACCAAGGCGUCGACGGGUAGCCGGCCUGAGAGGGUGUACGGCCACACUGGGAGUGUGAGACAGGGCAGACACCCACAGGAGGCAGCAGGGGGGAAUAUUGUGCAAAGGGGGCAAGCCUGAGGCAGAGACGCCGCGUGGGGGAGGACGGCCUUUGGGGUGUAAACUCCGCUCGCGAGUGACAAAGCGUAUUUGUGACGGUACCUGGAGAAGAAGCACCGGCUAACUACGUG